GGAAAUUUUGAUGGAUAGGGGGUUGUGAGUAACCGGUUUGACAAUGUUGUCAAGGGUUAGAUGUUGAACCUUCUAGUGUUUAAGUUUCCUAGUGUGGGUCGUAUAGGUAUAUAUCCUCGGCGAUGAACUCAAAUCCAACCGAUCUGUACUAAACCAUAUAAUUACGACUUGGUUUUUCUUCGGUUGGGAUCACAGCGUUAGUUAAGACAUGGUCUUGUCGGUGCUUCCAUUUUCGACACACAGAUCUGGCGAAGCUUUACCAUGGGUUAAAGUUC
rnacentral:lncRNA from 1 species